rnacentral:lncRNA from 1 species
UCUUGACUUAUUAAAGCCUAGCAAAAAUGAUCUUCCACACUCUGGUAAUUCAAGGGCUUUCAAGUACUUCGUGUAUCUCUUGCCUUUUGUACUAUUUAUUCUUUUUUUUUUUUGGAGACGGCGUCUUGCUCUUGUUGCCCAGGCUGGAGUGCAGUGGUGCGAUCUUAGCUCACUGCAGCCUCCGCCUCCCAGGUUCUAGCGAUUCUCUUGCCUCAGCCUCCCAAGUAGCUGGGACUAUAGGCACCCGCCACCACACCUGGCUAAUUUUUGUAGUUUUUAGUAGAGACGGGGUUUCACCAUGUUGGCCAGGCUGGUCUCAAACUCCUGACCUCAGGUUAUCCACCCACCUCGGCCUCCCAAAGUGCUGGGAUUACAGGCAUGAGCCACAGUGCCUGGCCAUCAAUAUACUUCUUAGUGCCUCAUUAAAUAAAGUUUCUCUGUGUCUUCUGGGAGACGUAUUUAGGUUAUGCAUGAGUAGAUCACACAUGUAAAUCCACUGCAACAUUGCUAUGUUUCUAAUCUUUGAGUUAUUUUCUCCAAGAACUUCCACUUGAUUUAAUACAGGUCAUCACUGAAUCCACAGUUUAGGUUACCAUUCUUGAAGUCUAACAGAGCCACUGCUUUAUCUAAUAUUGCAUCGGAAUGUCUAGUUAGAGUAUCCAUAUGGAUAUAUUAAUUUGGGAUCACAAUUAUGUCCUUUCCUCCCUGGUCUAGUUCCCUUAGUAUCCCUUCCAUAAAUAAUCCCUAAGUAUUUGCUGUUAUAAAUUAGCAGAAGAUUGGAAUUCAGGGUGUUAGCUCCUUUUUAAUGUCAUAUUUAUAUCCAUACCCCUAGGUUAGGCUGGGAUCUGAUCCUAAUUAUGGGUUUUCUAGCAAGAAGGAGUGGUGGGGGCUGGAGAAUGAGACUCCUUUUGUUACCAGGGGGUCCUUGCUCACAGAGCUCCCAAGAUGGUGGCAGGCCACUUCCAAGAUUGUGGCAAGCCUCGUGUU